rnacentral:rRNA from 1 species
AUGUGAAUGCAGAAUUCAGUGAAUCAUCGAAUCUUUGAACGCACAUUGCGCCUCUCGGUACUCCGGGGGGCAUGCCUGUUCGAGCGUCAUUACCCCACUCAAGCUCGGCUUGAUGUUGGGCCUUCGUCCCCGUGGACGUGCCCGGAAACCAGUGGCGGCGCGGCCCGGCUUCAAGCGGUAUCAGUUCAAUCUUCGCUUUGGAAGUCCCGGGUCUGUGCCUGCCAGAAAACCCCCACCACUCAAGGUUGACCUCGGAUCAGGUAGGGAUACCCGCUGAACUUAAGCAUAUCAAUAAGCGGAGGAAAAGAAACCAACAGGGAUUGCCUCAGUAACGGCGAGUGAAGCGGCAACAGCUCAAAUUUGAAAUCUGGCCCUUCUGGGGUCCGAGUUGUAAUUUGCAGAGGAUGCUUCGGGCUCGGCUCCGGUCUAAGUUCCUUGGAACAGGACGUCGCAGAGGGUGAGAAUCCCGUAUGUGACCGGCCGUCAGGGCCCGUGUGAAGCUCCUUCGACGAGUCGAGUGGUUUGGGAAUGCAGCUCAAAAUGGGUGGUAAAUCUCAUCUAAAGCUAAAUAUCGGCCAGAGACCGAUAGCGCACAAGUAGAGUGAUCGAAAGAUGAAAGCACUUGGAAGAGAGUCUACAGUCGUGAUAUGUGAUGGAAUCAAAAAAA